CAGCAAGUCUUCCAGCGUGGGGGGGCCUGCUGUGGCCCUCGCCAUUCCUCCAGCACUUGCCAGAGCAGGCCUCCCUGGGACGGUUUGAGGCCUCUCCCUGCCCUCACCAGGGAGGGGUUAUAGACAUCCCAGACACCU
rnacentral:snoRNA from 1 species